rnacentral:rRNA from 1 species
GAUGAACGCUGGCGGCGUGCCUAAUACAUGCAAGUCGAGCGAACAGACGAGGAGCUUGCUCCUCUGACGUUAGCGGCGGACGGGUGAGUAACACGUGGAUAACCUACCUAUAAGACUGGGAUAACUUCGGGAAACCGGAGCUAAUACCGGAUAAUAUAUUGAACCGCAUGGUUCAAUAGUGAAAGACGGUUUUGCUGUCACUUAUAGAUGGAUCCGCGCCGCAUUAGCUAGUUGGUAAGGUAACGGCUUACCAAGGCGACGAUGCGUAGCCGACCUGAGAGGGUGAUCGGCCACACUGGAACUGAGACACGGUCCAGACUCCUACGGGAGGCAGUAGUAGGGAAUCUUCCGCAAAGGGCGAAAGCCUGACGGAGCAACGCCGCGUGAGUGAUGAAGGUCUUCGGAUCGUAAAACUCUGUUAUUAGGGAAGAACAAAUGUGUAAGUAACUAUGCACGUCUUGACGGUACCUAAUCAGAAAGCCACGGCUAACUACGUG